rnacentral:lncRNA from 1 species
GAGUAUGAAAACUCUGCAAUCAGUUUGACAUAUGUAAUAAAAGAUACAUAGCAGUUGCAGAAAGCUACAGUUUGUCUCACCAGAGUCUACAAGGUUUGUUAUAUUUCCUAUGUCAGUUGAUGGAGUCUCCAUAUGUGAUAUGUUGCAUGUAUCUUCAAGUUCUUUUUGCUUCUUGAAGAAAAGUUCUUUGGUUCUGCUUGCUUUCAGUUGAUCUAGUCUCUGGACUUCAGACUCAGCCUUGGGGAAAGAUUUGCACAAAAGAAAAGGCGGUCAACAUAAUCUAUAAUUGGUAUGGAUCCUUUGUACUACAUUAUAUACUUACCUGCUGAAUUAUGUCCAAUGUAAUGCUGCCAGGAGCACACACAUCUGAUGGUGCGAAUGACAGUAAAUCAAUGAUGUGAGAAAACUUUUGACGAUCUUCAUAAGAUGCAUCCAUUAAAUUCCACAGGUUCGAUAAAGCUCUUCCAAGACGGUGAAGCUGCCAUUUGUAAGAUGCCUUAGAAGGUCAGAUAACAAAAUCUUGGUUCCAUCUUUUUCUCUUUGAUAAAUGUGAUUCUCUUUACUGAUUUGUGUUUCAGAGUAAUUGUUAAGCUAUGUUGAUGUUCCCCAAGCAAUGCUAGACAAUGAACUGAAACAUGUGUAAUUAGCUUUACCUUUUCAAGGCGCUUGUGCUUUUCCUCCUCGAGAGACACAACAGUGCCAUUGAGCUUUUUUAAGAUAUCAUCACUGAUGUUUUUGGAUAUUCCAUAGAGGUCGUUUAGGCUUGGGUGAAUCUUUGUUAUGAUCAUUGAUGCUUCUGUUCCCAAUGUUGCUGAUAGAUCUCGAAUGGCACAUAUGUAUAUUUCAACCUUCUGUAGUCUCUCAUUCUUGUGUGACAAAACAAUCAAAGACAACAUGAUAGAUAAGCUAAAACUGCCAGAUAAGUCAAAAGCAAGGCCUGUUCCCAAUUUGGUAUUAGUAAUGCACCUUCUCAUCAUUGAGCCUAUGCAGUUCGUUCUGAUAUUCCUCAAGUUUCUUAUCAGAAAGAUCAUUGUCAUCUAUGGUUAUCUGUCUAGAUGAGUCUUCAUAUGUCAAUCUACCUGCUAUUUCUGCUGAAAUUUUCUGAAUUUCCCCUUUGACAGUUCGGAACUGCUUCACUCUCUCAUCUUUCCGCAGCCUCAUCUCACGCAGUGCAGGCGCAAUAGAAUCCAGCUGCUCUCUCAAUGUUCCUCCCUUUUUCUCCGGCUGUGUAGAGAUGGCAACAAAAUUAUCAAUGAUACGUUAUCUGGAAAAUGUAAACUAGUCUUUGCUAUGGUUACUGAGUAACCUUUUGCUUCACUUUGGAUAUUAGAGAUUGAAAAUUACCCUUCCAGGUACUGAUCUUUCACCGAGGCACAAAAGAAAGUGGGUGAGUUCGGCUUCAGAUUCCGCCAGCUCUUGAUGUAGACGAGACCUCGAAACAUUGGCCUGGUCAACUUUUCUCCGGUAAGCCUCUACACAUUCCUGCUCUAUAUCAAGCAACACUUUCUCUCUUUCAAAUUUAUCUUCUCCCACUUCAUCCCAUAUCAUCUGUGUACAAAAACAGUGAACAUCCAUCGAUCACAAUAUUCUUUUCUUAAACUGAACCAUUUCACUUGAAAGAAAAGAAAGCACGGUUAAACAAACUUGCCUGUAACUCCCUGAGCAAAUAUCCGCAGGAUGUAUCUAACAACGAGGAGCUUCUCAUUCCUAUCGGUGUCUGAAGGGAACCCAUCUUCAGAUGGAUAAAUUCUCCAAUGUUUUUUUUGCUAUGUUUUGAGUUAUGAGCUUUGUGCUAUUGGUGCAGGUUUUGCUUUGAAGACAAGUGUGAAAGUGACACAAAUUCUGCUACAGAAGCUUCCAGUUUAAGUGAAGGCUCAUCCGCAUCUCCCUCCUCCUCUCAUUGAUUCAUCAGUUUUAGGUCUCUUUCUCUUUCUCUCUCUGAACCUCAUCUCAAUUUGGUAAAGUUAAGGAGUCGCUUUUGUGCUGAUGCGUUUGCUUCUGCUGUAUGAAAAAGCCAGAGAGAGAUGUUUUUUUUUUUUGGUUUAUACCAAUACAAAACUUGAUUCCUAAGCAAACCUCUAGUGCAAACUUUUUACUUAUCUGAGAUCAACUGAGAGAUUCUUCAUCAUGUGGGUUUUUACGACAUAAGCUUCUUGUUCUUUAUGUGUUAGGUAAAGUUCUUUGUGACAUUUUUUCAUUACUGUGUGUAUUUUUUUUUGUAUCACAUAUAGAGGUGCUCUCAUG